AGUCUGCAACCCGACUACACGAAGCUGGAAUCGCUAGUAAUCGCGGAUCAGAAUGCCGCGGUGAAUACGUUCCCGGGUCUUGUACACACCGCCCGUCACACCAUGGGAGUCAGUAACGCCCGAAGUCAGUGACCUAACCGAAAGGGAGGAGCUGCCGAAGGCGGGACGGAUGACUGGGGUGAAGUCGUAACAAGGUAGC
rnacentral:rRNA from 1 species